rnacentral:rRNA from 1 species
UGGGGAAUAUUGGACAAUGGGCGCAAGCCUGAUCCAGCCAUGCCGCGUGAGUGAUGAAGGCCCUAGGGUUGUAAAGCUCUUUCACCGGUGAAGAUAAUGACGGUAACCGGAGAAGAAGCCCCGGCUAACUUCGUGCCAGCAGCCGCGGUAAUACGAAGGGGGCUAGCGUUGUUCGGAUUUACUGGGCGUAAAGCGCACGUAGGCGGACUUUUAAGUCAGGGGUGAAAUCCCGGGGCUCAACCCCGGAACUGCCUUUGAUACUGGAAGUAUUGAGUAUGGUGAAGGUGAGUGGAAUUCCGGGUGUAGAGGUGAAAUUCGUGGAUAUUCGGAGGAACACCAGUGGCGAAGGCGGCUCACUGAACCAUUACUGACGCUGAGGUGCGAAAGCGUGGGGAGCAAACAGG